GCUGCCUGCAGCGCUCAGAAUCUGGAAUUACAGAGGAAAGUCUUCCAGCUGGAGAAAACCAACACGUCUCUGAUGGAGCAGUUACGCUGGCUGCAGUCUCUGGUGAUGAACGGCUCCAGUAAACCGGCUCAGACGGGAACCUGCAUCCUGGUGCUGGUCCUCUCUUUCUCUCUCAUUCUCAUCCCGAGCCUCCAGCCCAUCUCACACAGGAGGGCCCCUGACCCCGGGGACUUCAGCGCCAUGAAAGUUCAGUCCAGGUCACUGCGCUCGGUGAUGGAGGUGUAUAGCAUCCAGCCUGGCUACUCAGUCAACAGGGAUGUGGACGUGUCCUCUUCCCCUCACGGCAAGCUUCGGCUCAGGCCCGAGUACGCCGACAUGGACCCUCUACCACAGCUACAGAGACGGCGAGCAUCAUCACGGAGAUCCCAUCACAGGCUACGCCGCCACACUGAGGUGGAUUACGCAUCGUGAGAAAGACAGGAAGUGAUGUCACGGAUUGGCGAACAUUGAAACAGACAUUUGACCAAGGUAUCGCCACUCAUUCCGGCCACAGACAGGAAGUUAGCAGCCAACUGCUAUUUGUUUUGCUUGCUAGGUGCAGGUUUAUCUGAAUAGAUUACACUGCAAUAACA
rnacentral:lncRNA from 1 species